AUACUUACCUGGCAGGGGAGAUACCAUGAUCACGAAGGCCCUAGCCUUCCCAAGGCGAGUCUUAUCCAUUGCACUCCAGAUGUGCUGACCCCUGCGAUUUCCCCAAAUGUGGGAAACUCGACUGCAUAACUUGUGGUAGUGGGGGACUGCAUUCGCGCUUUCCCCUG
rnacentral:snRNA from 1 species